AGAACAAAGACGAGAGCCGCCGUCCACGCCAAGCUGAAGCAGGAGAAGAAGCUCGAGAAGCGCAAGAAGGUCAAGGCCCGCGACGCUUCCCGCGACGCCGCCGAGAAGCGAGCUCUCGAGCUCGGCGAAGAGCCUCCGGCCAGGGGAGUGCCGAAGACGAUUGAGAACACCAGGGAAGAGGAUGAGACUGUUUGCAGGCCUGACGAUGAAGAGUUGUUUGCUGGAAAUGAUGUGGAUGAGUUUAGUGCGGUUUUGAAGCAUGGAUCUAAUCCAAAGAUACUGAUCACCACUUGCCGAUUUAACUCUUCUAGGGGUCCUGCUUUUAUAGAGGAACUACUUUCGGUAAUCCCAAAUUCGACUUACUAUAAAAGAGGAACUUAUGACUUGAAAAAGAUUAUAGAAUAUGCAAAUAAAAAGGACUUCACUUCUUUAAUUGUUGUUCAUACCAAUCGCCAUGAACCAGAUGCUCUCCUAAUAAUUGGCUUACCUAGCGGACCUACUGCUCAUUUCAAGCUCUCAAAUAUCAAGAACCAUGGAAAUCCAACCAGUCAUAAGCCUGAGCUUGUAUUAAACAACUUUACAACACGCCUUGGCCAUUGUAUUGGAAGAUUAAUACAGUCAUUUUUCCCUCAAGAACCAAACUUUCCACAACCAGCGAGAUUUUGUAUUCUUCCGGCAUCAUCGGUACAUUUUUGAAACCAAAGAGGUUAAACAAGCUGAAGCAAAGGGAAAAAAGACCAAGGAUUCCAAGGCUAUGACUGUUACUGAAGCAAAACCAAUUGCCCGCCUACAGGGUGGUGAAUGUGGUCCUCGAUUUACUCUCAAAUUGAUCAGUCUGCAGCAUGGGACAUUUGAUCCUAGAGGCGGGGAGUUUGAGUGGGUUCACAAGCCGGAGAUGGAUACUAGCAGGAGGAGGUUUUUUCUGUGAGUUGCUUUGGAAUAUCUCUCGAGCUCUUCUUCUGGUGGAACGAGUGUUGGAAGUUAUAGAGUUGCUCCACCCUGGCAAGAAGUAAAUCAGGCAGAACAUUUUUCAUUUAUGUUAAGAUCCGCAUUCUGC